AGAAGUAUAUACAUCAACUCGUCAUCAAGCGAAUUUCUGGCACCGUUGCUGGGGACUCCAGUCUUCAAGAUAGGGCUUUUUUCCUUUCUUCUUGAGAGGAGGAGCUAAAGUGUGGCUUCAAUCUUUGCCUAGGAAUAGCAUAGAUUCUUGGGAUAAGUGCAAAGAUGCUUUUAUCGGGAAGUAUUACCCGCGUGCUAAGAUUAUCCAGUUGAGUAGUAACAUUAUGAAUUUUAGGCAAUUGGAUAAUGAUCAUGUUGCUCAAGCUUGGGAACGUAUGAAA
rnacentral:lncRNA from 1 species